AGAAGGAGACGGAGAGGUUAUAAUUUUGUGUUCCACAGAUGUGGAACGAGUCGUUCCAGGGAGUGAGAUGGAAUGAAAAUUCACCCAAAACUUGUCCCGUGGAACAGGAUGUUCCACUUGUUUUAGGCGCAUCAAACGUGGAACGGUACGCCUCGUCCCACUCCGUUCCGUCCCAUCCCAUGUACCAAACGGUACCUAUAGGAUUGUAUUUACUUGGAGAACAAGUUCCUUUCAGCUACUAUAAAUAAAUGCACUGUGUUGGGUGGAAUACACACAAGAAUCCUAAGCAUUCUACAACCUCUCCACUCUCUCUUUUUACAUUUUCACUAACCUCUUCAAGAGGAUCGAGCACGUUUAGCUCCUUGAUAUUAUUUUGCCUUACUUUUGAACGAGAAAACAAAGGAUUUCUCCGGAAGGCAUUCAUCAUACUAAUGUGAUCUUCCAGAAUUGGGCCCCUAGAAUUUUGUAACCCGUCGAGCUUUAUGCUCACUUCGUUUGAAUACUUAUUCACGAGUUUCUGUAAAUGUUUGUUUAUUCUCUUUCUUCAAUACCUUAUUUUUGUGUCGAAGAUUUAAACCUUGGGAGUUUAUACUUCGAUACUUCUGGCUUGUAGGCGUUGACUCGUGUUUACCACAGAAGCCACACUUCGAUUACUCAAAAGAGUCAUGAACGGCUUGUGUGUCCGUUGUUGUUACUAAGAAAUAGUUGAUCUUCUGGAAUGAGAAUAUCUUUCAAUAUGCUUUUGAGGAGCAAGAUUAUAUGAUAUCAUGUCAUUAGGGAGCGAGAUUAUCUCAUAUCAUGUUUCCAUCUUUUUGGUAAACAUCAUGUUUCCAUCUUUGGUGAAGUUCUUUGGUUCACCAAAUGCUGUCAUCAAAUUCAGCUAGUUUUCUUGACCUUGCAAGACCAAGAUAUGACAGAAGAGAGAGCUUGCAUUCUAAGCAUAUUACUUCUAUCCUUUCUUGAUUACUGACCAAGCCUUUUCUCUAGCACUUGAAAAGAGUAUCAGAUUAUUUGCGUAUAGUUUCUCAAUUCCUCCCCGAUUGCUAAAGGGAAAAUUGCAUAAUUUCCUUUCCCCAUCAAUUUAGAUGAAAAGUUUCUUAGCCUACGAUUUCAAUCCAAGCUUGUUUCAAAUUUUUUGUUUGAAUCCCAUGUACAUUGAUGAAUUCUUAUUAGUAUUGACAUUCCUUGUACUUGUACAAAUAUUAGUGAUGUUGUCGAGCUGGGAUGACAAUGUUUUGCUUGUAAGCAUAAU
rnacentral:lncRNA from 1 species